rnacentral:rRNA from 1 species
GAGUUUGAUCCUGGCUCAGGAUGAACGCUGGCGGCGUGCUUUAUGCAUGCAAGUCGAACGAGAAGGGAAGGACUUCGGUCCGACCUGGAGAGUGGCGAACGGGUGAGUAACACGUGAGUGACCUGCCCCGAGGUGGGGGACAACCGUGGGAAACCACGGCUAAUACCCCGUAGUCCUGUGCGCACUGGUCGCGUACAGGUAUAGCUCCGGCGCCUUGGGAGGGGCUCGCGGUCGAUUAGCUAGUUGGUGGGGUAACGGCCUACCAAGGCGACGAUCGAUAGCUGGUCUGAGAGGACGAUCAGCCACACUGGGACUGAGAUACGGCCCAGACUCCUACGGGGGGCAGCAGCAAGGAAUAUUGGACAAUGGGCGCAAGCCUGAUCCAGCAACGCCGCGUGGAGGAAGAAGGCUUCGGUUGUAAACUCCUUUUGUGAGGGAUGAGACAAGGACAGUACCUCACGAAUAAGUCACGGCUAACUAGGUGCCAGCAGCCGCGGUAAUAC